rnacentral:rRNA from 1 species
GACGAACGCUGGCGGCGUGCUUAACACAUGCAAGUCGAACGGAAAGGCCCUGCUUUUGUGGGGUGCUCGAGUGGCGAACGGGUGAGUAACACGUGAGUAACCUGCCCUUGACUUGGGGAUAACUUCAGGAAACUGGGGCUAAUACCGGAGAGGAGCUCCUGCAGCAGGGUGGGGUUUGGAAAGUUUCGGCGGUUGGGGAUGGACGCGCGGCUUAUCAGCUUGUUGGGGGGGUAGUUGCUUACCAAGGCUUUGACGGGUAGCCGGCCUGAGAGGGUGACCGGCCUCAUUGGGACUGAGAUACGGACCAGACUCCUACGGGAGGCAGCAGUGGGGAAUAUUGCACAGUGGGCGGGAGCCUGAUGCAGCAACGCCGCGUGCGGGAUGACGGCCUUCGGGUUGUAAACCGCUUUCGCCUGUGACGAAGCGUGAGUGACGGUAAUGGGUAAAGAAGCACCGGCUAACUACGUG